UUUCAAGCAUAUAUAAAGUAUACUUAGCUUAUCUUUGCUUAUCUACAGUCUGAACAGCGCAACCGCGGCCAAACAGAAGGUUCGGCGCGCAGCAGGUUUUGCCCGAGUGUGUGCGCGCACACGUGUGUGCGUGAAGUCAGAGCACAAAAAUCACAGAAAUGCAAAGCUGGCACUCAGCGAGGGCUGCUGGAAAAGCUUCACGUUGAAAGACAAAAGCUGAUGUGUUCCCUAGGAAAGAUUUCCUUGCUCUGCAGUUAUUUCACCCAAGGUGCGCCUUUCUGUGUGCAUCUGGAAAGGAAACAGCAAUAACAGAAUGUGACUUGUGGCCGAUCAUGUGACAAAAAACCCGAACGACAUGAACCGACUCCUGGACUGUCUACGGAAAAAUCACAGGACACGGUUUGUUUGCACAGGCUAUUUGAUGAUUCAUUGUGAACAAACAGACUUAAAUCAGAGUUUUAUCGGUGAGCCUAAAAUAAGUGAUUUCUCAGAACACGGCCACACUCUUUCAAAGAACACAGAAAUCUCUCAAGAAAAUCUGCACCAAGAUGUUCAAAAAGCAUUGCUGCACGUGGGAAGUUGCGUUUCACAAGCCUCUCACGACACUGCCUCCAUUAUGCAUGCCAAUAAAACCAGGGCACAGGCCCUCGGAGGUAAGCGCUGCAUUUAUUUGGUCUUUAAGCUUUGAUAGAGUAUUAACUGCUGUGUGAUCUUUAUUAGAAGCAAGGAAACACUGUGUCAGGCAGCAGCAGAUGUGAAGUAGUGUGUGUGGGGUUUUUGUUUUGGGGUUGUUUUUUUUUUUUUUCCCUCCUAGCAAGCUCUGUCAGCCCUGCAAACAAACACUUGGCCAAAUGCUGUGUAUCAGUGUACGAUGUGCAGGCUUUUUGUGCUUUUUAUUUCAAGCUUUCAUUCACUAUAGUGAGGUUACGGUCAGAAAGCACUAUCUGAAAACAUGCCCUUCCUCACUAUGCUUCUUACUGUCUUAUUAACCACAACUUUUACUGUAUCUGCUUGCACUGCUCAGGUACAGGGAUGCUGAAAGGGAAGCAUAUAAACUAGAUUUAUGCUGGUCGCCCAGAUUUGCCCUGGUGACACUCCCUGCUUAUUAUAAUAAAUCAAUACCUCCCUACGGAGGAAAAAGUGGAAGCGGCUUAUUGCUGAAUCUUAAACCACGGGCAGGUCUCUGUGCCCACUCAGCUGCUCAUCACUGCCAUCUCAGAAUUUGCUGGCAAGCUGCUUUUUAUGGCUGCCUCUGGCUCGUUUGGCCUGAAAUCAACAAACUUGACCACAAAAGUGCGAAGUUUUCUGAAAACCUGGCUCCUUUUGCCUGCGGAAGGUUUGGGACCAAUCCCAUAAGCAGCUUUGCUCCCAGGCUGGGCAAGGGGCAGCGACUCUCCCGCCUCGGCUAGGCGAAGGUGUGCAUCUGUGGUCCUUGCACGUGGGUAUGCGUUGUCCUGUAGUGGAAGCGGAGGCCUGCAUCCAUCCUGGGCGCUGCUCCGGACUCCCCAAGCAUCCCGAAAGCUCAGAGCUCCAGCCUGUGCCACCUCUUCCCUUCCAAGAGGAUGUCUGGCUUACAGGAAUGGCACUACUGGAAACGUUUGCUUGACAGAAGUGCAACAGGAGCAGCUGAGCAGGUUAUCCCACCCUUCCUUACGCCAGGCAAAGCUACAGGGAGAUGUAAGACUCUUUACUAGGCCGACUGACACAUUAUUUUUCUUCUUCUCCUUCCAGACUGUGUUAAAAAAAUAAAUAUCUUUCUGGCUCUGUUAACUAGGUCUUUGUCCACCACAGGGUUCAAGUGCAUGGAGAGUCAGAAAUAUAGACCAAGCUUUCUAGGGAUGAAAACACAGUGGUUUUGUAAGCACAAGAACCUGAAAUUAAAUUUAUGGGUGUUUUUUUUUUUAACCCCUGUUAUCUAAGUACCUGCCCCCUUCCAAUAACUUCUCUUUUAACCUGUGAGUUGUGAUUAAAGGGUAAAUUGCUAAUUGCCUCAGCCAACAGGCUGAAGUACUUAUUCUUAUCACCAAAGAAAUCUCAGUGCAUUGAUGAGCCUGUCAGAACCCAGCAAAGAACCUGAACAUUUGCCUCAUUUACACAAAAAUUCGAUCUGGAUCCGUGACUCAUAUCUGCCUGAACCAGAAUGCUGACACCGAAUACCAAGAACUUCAGACACCACGUUGAGUAGGAACCAUCCUUUAUCUUUAAAGGGAGAGUUCAGAAUAUGGUUUUUCCAUUAUUAAACUGAAAUAUGUAUUAGUCAGUUUUAGAAGAGUUUCACCAUUUUCAGUCUCAGGAAGUACCGUAGUUCCUAAGAGCCACAGCCACAAACUAGAACCCCGUUGUGUGAAGUACUGUACCAAAGGACUGAGAGGCUUUACAAAGACAAUGCCUUCUCCGAUUUAUAACGAAAGGAGGAAAUUAAGAAUUUUCCUUUAUGCUGAAAGGACGUAGCUGAUAACGCACACCCUGGACGGGACCUGCUGAGUGUGCUGUUUAAACUGGGUUGAAUUUGCACUAAAUAAUACCGGAAAUGCUGGCAAAUUAUUUUUCAGCUUCAGCUUAGGGCAGGGACCUUGAAUACUUUGAACUGGUACAGACUGCAGGAUAAGAAUACUUCCUUUUAGAAGCGACUGAUUCUGCAGCAGCUAUUUUGCUGAGGUUACAGAGAUGACAAGUUAAGGACUCCAGUUGUCCCAGUAUAUGCAAGGCUUUCCCAUUAGUAACUCAGCUGUCUGUCCAAGCUCAGCCUAUUGCGACAGGUACGACUGCACUCCUAUUUUACUCACGCAGUUACGACUGCGUACGGUAUUUAAUUAAUUAUGCACGGGACUAGGCAAUUAUGCAUCUCACUAAGCAGUUAUACAGUUAUCCGACUUAUACGUGAACUGAAAGCACAGAACUGACUGUACGACUGUAUAUAUACUCAUGACAGCUGUCAGUCACGAAUCAGGUGUCUUUGCUCAACGGUGUGCAGUUAUCAGCCACCGACCCUCUUUAUAUUUUGUACCAGCCGCGCUUCGGUUACUUCCAUGAGGUAACAGCUUUCCCAGCUGGAUGGCAAUGCUCGCAGAGAAAGGUUCACAGCAAGAGGUUUCACAGGUCUCAAGCAGAAAGCUGAAAGUUGCUUUCUGAGAAGAAUACGGUAAGAGUAAACAGCGCCGUUUUUCUUCAAAGCAACGUGGUAAAGUACACAGGUAGGCACGUUUCCUCUCAGCCAGCCAUCUGUCCCAGCAGGGCUUUGGCCCUCGCUUGUCAUUAGCAUUGUUUUUAUUUCAUUCUUCAUACGAACAAGGCAGCGAGAGAAGAACAAUAACACAUCCACAAUCGCACAAAAAGCGACUUCCGUGUUAUGGUGUCGACCAAAUCUCUCUUGACCUUUUUGUUUCUUCUGCAUUUGAAAGGCAAAGAGAGAAUGGAGCGGAGAAUACGUCUUUUCACAUACAUAAGGCACUUACUCUCAUUUAUCCUCUCUCUUUUUAAUUUAAAAGCACUUCUGUGAGGCUUACUUAACAUUCAUGUCACACUGCGCACAGAUACAUUUUUAGGCAUGUUAUUAUUUUUCUCCUGUCCUAAGAACAUUGGUUUUCGCAAGGCAGCAGAUGAAGCAGCCAGAGCGCUCUCAUUUCCCCUUUACCAUCACCCCUCUCCCUUUCCGUGACACUCCUUCGCUUUUGUCUGCCCCGCUCCCACAGUCACCCCCCCCCACAUCACCUCUUAACCAGCGGGAUCCCAGAACAGGCACCCACGGGCAGCCCACCUCCAGCGACACCCAGCAGUGCUGAGCAGGGCCUCUCCUGAGCCGGGCAUCAAGUAUUAAACCCUACGGUGGCAUUGCUUUAUUCUCUGUGAAGGAGGGUGGGAUUCACGGGAAACCUGAACAGAGAUCACGGGAUGCAACAUCCACCCUAAGCUGUCAAUUCUGAAGAUAAAAAAACUACCCAGGCGUAAGCAGAGGAAGAAGCAGGGGGGCUUGGGGGUGCGCGCUGUCGUGCCGUGCGGAGCGCAGAGUUAGGCUAAGGCACCAUUUCGCUGAGAAGGCAGAAGUGUUAUUUACCCAGAGCACCGCUGUGAAGGAAUUGCUCUGAAAACAUUUUGGAGAACCCUUUCAUUAGCCUCCCUCCACGGUCAGAAAGAGCCUCCUAAUGAAAACAGAUGACUUGGAGUUUACCAAAACGGGGUCCCCCAGCAUCGUCCCGUGCUGUGACGUCCCCAUCCCUGGCACAUCUUCACCUCCAGGCACCGCUCUCCCCUCCCUGAUCUCUACGUAAAUUCUGAUCAUGUAGGUUUGGGUUUUUGGUUUGCUUGGGUUUUGUCGGUUGGUUUUUUGUUUGUUGUGUUUUUUUUUUUUUUCUUUUUGUCUCCAGGUUUCUAUGAAUGGGAGGACACCAAAAAAAAAAAACACAAACAAAAACCCAACAACCUAAACCUGCAAGUGCAACUGCUUGAAUAGUUUUAGCGACUGAAACGUCCAAGACACUAAGUCCAAGUGCCCUCUACUGGCAUCGGCGAGGAGGAUGUGGCUGGAUUUACUGAGGAGACCACGUCGGGAACGGAGAGUCACACAGCAUUCACAAGACAAAGGCACUGGGGAAGCGAAGCCCAGAACAGGAGAGCUGGACGGAGAUGGGAUUCAGCUGCCGCAUGAGGAAGCAACUUGGGGAAGUGACAAUUCUGUUUGUUUUUCUGCCAGGAAGGCAGGGGAGGAGACUGCUCUGCACGGUCUGAAUAGAACUGGAUGGGAUUGCGAUUACUCACUGGAAGAGAGAGAUGUGACGAUUACAAAUCUCUGUACUGUGUCCUUUUCCCCUGCUAUGUCCAGAAUCAGUUUCAGAAAUGUCAUGUACUAAGUAAUUCAGUAAGUAGCUGCAAUAUUUAUCAUACUGAGAGAGGACGAGCACCACUCACGGUUUGCAGAGCUGCAUCUGUUCUGCACUCUGUGAUUCUACUAAAUUCAGUUUAGGUAAUCCUGAGGUAUAUGCAUUCAUUACAUUAAAAGCAAGUCAAUUUUUGACAUCUAAAUUCAACAUGCACUAGGAUAAACCUACCAGAAAUGGUGACAAAACCUUCUGUGAAAUCAGGUUCAUGCAUUAUAUUUUUCCUUAAAAAUUCCUUAAGGAAUCUCCUUAGGGUUUUUUCCUUAAAAAACCCCACGUAUUAUGCAUUUGUCAGACUGGAACUGGAGGCAAGGAUCACAUCGAGUUCCCAGUAACCACCACCAGAUCAGCCACACAGUAUCAGCCUAAAAAAAAAAAAAGCUUAAAAUCUUGGUCAGCUUUCUAAUAUAAAAACAAAUACAUACAAAAAUCGUCCUGCUAGCCAGUCAGCUUAGGGUCUCUUUCUGUACGAAACAGAUGUUGAUAUUUGAUUACUCCCUUUAAUAGUGUCCAUCUGUGGAAAGGGCCGCAGUGCUAGUACACAUGCAUGAAAGCAGUAAUCGUAUUUUCAAUACCAAGGAUACCAAGGAUUGUUUUAUCUACCUCAUCUUUAAUAUUUCACUGCUGAGGCCAGGUUGUGCAUGUGGCUCCGCAGCAGCUUGUUUGCAGCCCAUUUCAUUGCGAACACCUCCCUUCUCGCACCUUCCCUUUUCCACCUGAGCUGAUUCUUUGUACAGUGCGGCAACAUUAGCUUUUAUAUAGUGUUCAUCAUCUGGCCCAGGCCUAAACCUCCUCAUGGGCAGGAUAUUAAAUCAUAAACGGCUCAGGACUAGUUCUGAUACUGAAAGUUAAAUAUCCCACCAAAUGCAAAAAGGAAAAAAUGAGAAAAAGUCCAUCAUGCCUAAGCAUGGACACGCUUGAACCACCACAUGUGAAUCAGGGCUACGGUGAGACUGGAAACCUUGUCCCUUGGAGACAGUUACCAAACCUGUCAUGUGGAGGAGUGUCUCAGGUGUAACAUACACCGGGAAAACUGAAAUUAAACAUAUAUAUGUAGCUAUCUUUUUACUUGUUCCUUGCAUACUAGUCCGGGAAGAGCCUGGCUUGCCCCUGCCUAGUUCAGGGUCUUCACUUGGCGUGGAAGUCCCCGGUCCCGCCAGCUCCCAGAGCAGCAGAGGGUAAGCAAGCCCCACAGCCCCGUUUCGGCCCCUUUGCAGAGGUGGCGUAUCAGCCCUCCAUCUGCCUCGCAUUGCUCUUGGAGGAGGCUACGAGGGAAAGCACCGUCAACAGGGAGAGGCCCUAAGGGUGACCCGUGCUGCCCUCACCCCGCCGCAGACCCCCCUCCUCUGUUGGGCAGCGUUUCAUCGCUUUCUGUAUCUCUGCCUGCAACGUAAGGAAGCCCAGCUACACCGAUGAAGUACAAUAAAUGCAAGAACAAUGUAUUCACUUACUGGAGGUGUCUAUUUUGAAGGUAGACAUUGCAUUAACUUGCAAAAACUGAUCUUUCCAGCCAUGGAAUUGUUUUUCCUCUCUAGACUGUUAAUGGCAAGAUCCAAAUUCAGACAAACAACUAGAGCAAAGAUCUCGCUUCAAAUAUCCGAGACGUUUGUUAGUGAUCACAACUGGAUUGCUCACAUUAGUUUUAAUUCUCAUCUCAGAGUGCAAAUUGAGAUCUUUCAGAAGCACUUCAGUACUUCGUGUUCCCUUGUCCGUAGGGCAGAGAUCAACUAAACGUAUUAAGAGGAAGUCAGACAUUAAAAAAUGUACUUAGAUAAAUGAGAUUAAUGCAUGGGGUCUGACAAUAAAUUUUUGGUCCUAAACACAAAAUAUUCCACAGAAACAGAUAAUAAAUCAUCCCCGAACUCCGAAAUCGAGUUCCAAACUAAUAAUAUUUUUCGACUUUUAUAGGAACUUACACUACGGUCUCAAAGACUAGUCAUCUUGGGGGACCAAAUCCAAAAUAAAUGCGAAGACUGAAAGCAUGCUAAUACUGUCAAAUUGGGGUGACCUUUACACUAUCUCACUGCCAAAGAAUCAGCUUUCAUAAAAGGUUAAUUUCUUUGAGAAGGUACAAGCUGAAUACCCCAAAACUGAAGCAUGCAUAAUCAUUAGUUGCUUAGGAAAUUCUUGGCAGACGCACGUACAUAAGAACAAAGAUACAUCUGUGAACAAAAAGCUUAAGGAACACUUUCUGCAAAACCCUAAAUACUAUUUCCACCCUAGAAUAUAGACAUUUACAAGUAAUUCUGCCAGUAACCAGUAGUAAUUUUAGUACAAUGUUUGUUUCCAAGUGCUUGAAAGCACCUACUCUUGUGUAAUGGGCUAUGAAUAGUAACUACCAUCUUUAUCCUGUCUACAGCAAUUACUCCCCCCCCCCACCCUUGAAGCUAGAAAAAUGAGGCACAGGCUUGAUGGAAAGAAAGUAAAUUUUUCUAAAUUCUUCCACGUUCAGCAUAUGGUUUAGUUUCAGUUUUCUCCAAGCCAGAACAAUAUGCUUUACAGGAGACAAGAUGAUGAAGGCUUAAUUCUGGGUUCAGUUAAAACAAACAACUUUCUCUAAAAGCACAUGCUUUGUUUCAAAGUGACAUUUGUUAAAAGCCUCAGUGUCCACAUUACAUCACUGCGGGUCAGCUAUCAUGACUGACACGGUGACACGGGACAAUGAAAGGAAGGCAGAUUUGCCUUAACCCUCGCCACGCCACAUCUGUACGCUCUGACCACACCAGACUUUAGGUUCCUUCUGCGUUGUUUUUACACCUCUUUGCCACAACCAAGGAAGAAUACAAACUUAAGAUAUAUAGAGAUUUUUCCUUGCUGAGAAAAAAAAACCCUAAAUGCAACCCCCCCAAGAUUAACCUGAUGAAAAUAGACUAAAAAAGUAUUUCCUACAGAGCACACGCCAAGAAGCAAUAUCUCACGCUGUCCGGCACAGGCAGGCUUUCCGAUGCUGGCGUGCCAAAAUCCACCAUUACUCUCUCACCUCAAGAUACUCGAUACAAGCCCUGCUUGGGUCCCUCAGCGAGGCUGUGAAGCGACAUAUCCCCUACUUACAAAACAGCAGCGCAUUUUACAGGGAAAAGCAACUUCAUAAAGUAAGCUUGUUAUUUCUGUGAUGAGUGUUCCUAUGUACUUACAGGCUUUGGUAAAUUUACAUUUUAGCAUUGCCAUUCACCUUUAAAUAAAUAUUGAUGGAGGGCAAA